AUACAACAACAACAACAUUUAUUUAUAUAGCACAUUUUCAUACAAAAAGUAGCUCAAAGUGCUUUACAUAAUGAAGAAAAGAAAAAUAAAAGACAAAAUAAGAAAUUAAAAUAAGACAACAUUAGUUAACAUGGAAAAGGAGUAAGGUCCGAUGGCCAGGGUGGACAGAAAAAACAAAAAAAAAACUCCAGACAGCUGGAGAAAAAAAUAAAAUCUGCAGGGGUUCCAGGCCACGAGACUGCCUAGUCCCCUCUGGGCAUGCUACCUAACAUAAAUGAAAUAGUCCUCUUUGUAGUUAGGGUUCUCACGGAGUCACUUGAUGUUGAUGGUCAUACAGACUUCUGGCUUUUAAUCCAUUCAUCAUUGUUGGAACAUCACGGUGCUUUGAGUAGAUGGUGGAUUGCGCCACCACAAAGAAACCGGAAAAAGAAACAGAAGAGAGAGUAGGGGUUAGUAUGGAUUUUAGAGCCACCUUGAAUAGUUAUUAUAAUAAAUUGGAUAUACAGAGUAUCAGGAUUAAAUUAAAGUGAAGUUAU